rnacentral:sRNA from 1 species
UAUGCUUAAGUGCCUAAACGUGAUCAACUAAAACAGCCAUAUUACCCAUAUAUAGGUUUUUUGCUAAGAAGGUAAAUAUUUCAUUAGAAAAAUGAAAAAUGUUUAGAAUUAUACAAAGUAAGUCCUAAAGUUUGGUCCCAUGGAAAAAAAGAAUAAAAACAUGGAAGCGAAACCCAAUCAGUCUAUCGACAUCAACAAAAGCGGUGAAACUUUCAGAAUCAAUGAAGUGAUAACCGAUUAUGAAAUGAUUACCCAUAUAUAGG